GCCACUACUGGGCAUAUACCCUGAGAAAACCAGAAUUCAAAAAGAGUCAUGUACCAAAAUGUUCAUUGCAGCUCUAUUUACAAUAGCCAGGACAUGGAAGCAACCUAAGUGUCCAUCAACAGAUGAAUGGAUAAAGAAGAUGUGGCACAUAUAUACAAUGGAAUAUUACUCAGCCAUAAAAAGAAACGAAAUUGAAUUAUUUGUAGUGAGGUGGAUGGACCUGGAGUCUGUGAAACAGUUUCUUUUAAAAUUUAUCUUGUUAGGACUUCCCUGGUGGUGCAGUGGUUAAGAAUCUGCCUGCCAGUGCAGGAGACACGGGUUCGAUCCCUGGUCCAGGAAGAUCCCACAUGCUAUGGAGCAACUAAGCCCGUGCGCCGCAACUACUGAGCCUGCUUUCUAGAGCCCGCCAACCACAACUACUGAGCCUGCAUGCCACAACUACUGAAGCCCACGUGCCUAGAGCCCGUGCUCUGCAACAAGAGAAGCCACUACAAUGAGAAGCCCAUGCACCGCAAUGAAGACUAGUCCCUGCUUGCCACAGAUACAGCACAUCCAGUUUUCUUUAGACAUCUUUCCAUUCUCCAUUGGAUGUAGUCUCAAUAAAACUUUUCAUCAAGGACUGGCAUAUUUCCUCCGGUGAAAGGGAGACCUUCGAGAUGGUGGAGGAGUGAGACAUGGAGAUCAUCCUCCUCCGCACAAAUACGUCAGAAAUACAUCUACAUGUGGAACAGCUCCUACUGAACGCUGGCAUAAGACCUCAGACUUCCCAAAAGGCAAGAAACUCCCCACACACCUGGCUGUGUGGCUGACAGGGUCUUCGUGCUCUGACCGGGUGUCAGGCCUGUGCCUCUGUGGUGGGAGAUCUGAGUUCAGAACAUUGGUCCACCAGAUACCUACUGGCUCCAUGUAAUAUCAAAUGGCAUAAACUCUCCAAGAGAUCUGUAUCUCAAUGGUAAGACCCAACUCCACUCAGAGACCAGCGAGCUACAGUGCUGGACACCCUAUGCCAAACAACUAGCAAGACAGGAGCACAACCCCACCCAUUUGCAGAGAGGCUGCCUAAAAUCAUAAUAAAGUCACAGACACCCCAAAACACACCACCAGACGCAGUCUUGACCACCAGAAAGACAAGAUCCGGCCUCAUCCACCAGAGCACAGGCACCAGUCCCCUCCACUAGGAAGC